rnacentral:rRNA from 1 species
UACAGAGGGUGCGAGCGUUGUUCGGAAUUAUUGGGCGUAAAGGGCGCGUAGGCGGUGCGGUAAGUCACCUGUGAAAUCUCCUGGCUCAACUGGGAGCUUGCAGGCGAAACUGCCGUGCUGGAGUGUGGGAGAGGUGCGUGGAAUUCCCGGUGUAGCGGUGAAAUGCGCAGAUAUCAGGAGGAACACCGAUGGCGAAGGCAGGUCUCUGGGCCACUACUGACGCUGAGAAGCGAAAGCAUGGGGAGCGAACAGG